CCCUUAGAUGUUCUGGGCCGCACGCGCGCUACACUGAUGCAUUCAACGAGUUUCUUCCUGGUCCGAGAGGAAUGGGUAACCUUUUGAAAGUGCAUCGUGAUAGGGAUAGACUAUUGCAAUUAUUGGUCUUCAACGAGGAAUUCCUAGUAGACGUAGUUCAUCAGACUGCAUCGAUUACGUCCCUGCCCUUUGUACACACCGCCCGUCGCUCCUACCGAUUGAAUGUUCCGGUGAGCUCUUCGGACUGCGCGGUCUGCAGUUUCUGCGUUCCGUGCGGAAAGUUGCGCAAACCUUAACAUUUAGAGGAAGGAGAAGUCGUAACA
rnacentral:rRNA from 1 species